AGCCAGACUCCUACGGGAGGCAGCAGUGGGGAAUAUUGCACAAUGGGGGAAACCUUGAUGCAGCGACGCCGCGUGAGUGAAGAAGUAUUUCGGUAUGUAAAGCUCUAUCAGCAGGGAAGAAAAUGACGGUACCUGAUUAAGAAGCCCCGGCUAACUACGUGCCAGCAGCCGCGGUAAUACGUAGGGGGCAAGCGUUAUCCGGAUUUACUGGGUGUAAAGGGAGCGUAGACGGCUGUGCAAGCCAGAUGUGAAAGCCCGGGGCUCAACCCCGGGACUGCAUUUGGAACUGUGUAGCUGGAGUGUCGGAGAGGCAGGCGGAAUUCCUAGUGUAGCGGUGAAAUGCGUAGAUAUUAGGAGGAACACCAGUGGCGAAGGCGGCCUGCUGGACGAUGACUGACGUUGAGGCUCGAAAGCGUGGGGAGCAAACAGGAUUAGAUACCCCGGUACAC
rnacentral:rRNA from 1 species